GUCCCUGUAGCUUAAAUCAAAGCAUGGUGCUGAAGAUACCAAGAUGGACACCGCCACCCCAAGGACA
rnacentral:tRNA from 1 species